CCGGGUCUCCAGGAUCGUGCCCUGGGCCAAAGGCAGGCGCCAAACUGCUGCGCCACCCAGGGAUCCCUGACCCACACUUUUGAAUGAGAAAGUGGACACUAGCCUGUGACCCCAGGCAGUCACCGGCCCUCAAUGAACCCAUGCCCCCCACAUAAAAUGAGAGGUUCAAGGAGAGAAUGUUCAAGUAAACUUCCAAAGGAUCAAUGAAGUGCUUUUCAAAUGGACAACGAUGGAUCAGCAAUCUAAACCACACUGGCUCUGAACAGAUCUUGUUCAGUGUUGGGAGUGUACCUCUCAACUGCAAGUAUGAGCAACAUACUCCGGAGAGACGCUUCUAAACCCUUAACACACCAUCUGGGACCUCAAGUACUGCCGUGUGUUGCACAGGAGUCCUUACCAAAGAAAAUCUUUCAUGCUGACCAGAAUACCUUGUCGCCCCUGGGAGUCAUCCUGGAUGGGAAGUUCCAUUAGAACAUGCACUUCUGGGCAGCCCCAGUGGCUCAGCAGUUUAGCGCCGCCUUCAGCCCAGGGCCUGAUCCUGGAGACCCAGGAUCGAGUCCCACAUCAGGCUCCCUGCAUGGAGCCUGCUUCUCCCUCUGUGUCUCUGCCUCUCUCUCUCUCUCUCCCUCAUGAGUAAAUAAAUAAAAUCUUAAAAAAAAAAAAAAAAAGAAAAAAAAGAAAAAGAAAAAGAACAUGCACUUCUCCCCCAAGUGCCAUGUCCCACGCCUGGGUCUGGUUCAGCUCAUCCAUCAUGAACCCUUCCCAGGAACCACAGGCAACAGGGACCUCCUGCCUGAGUCCUAACGAAGAGCCCAACCCUGCAGAUUAGCCUUCUGCAUAACUUUCUGGUGAAAUAAAGGCUAGGCUAAAUUUUAAAAAAAACCUGAAACUGGGGACGCCUGGGUGGCUCAGUCGGUUAAGUGGUUACCCUCAGCUCAGGUCAUGAUCCUGGGGUCGGGGGAUCGAGCCCC